rnacentral:rRNA from 1 species
GACGAACGCUGGCGGCGUGCUUAACACAUGCAAGUCGAACGGUGAAGCGCCUUCCUUUUUGGUCGGUGUGGAUGGGUGGCGAACGGGUGAGUAACACGUGAGCAACCUGCCCCCUUCUUCUGGAUAACCGCAUGAAAGUGCGGCUAACACGGGAUAUUCUGUGUCUGUUGCAUGAUGGGUCUGGGAAAGAUAUUGUUUCGGUGGGGGAUGGGCUCGCGGCCUAUCAGCUUGUUGGUGGGGUGAUGGACUACCAGGGCGGCGAAGGGUGGCCGGCCUGAGAGGGUAGACGGCAAUAGAGGGACUCGGACACGGCCAAGACUGCUAAGGGAGGCAGCGGUGGGGGAGAUAGCACGAGGGGUGGAAGUGUGAAGCAGCGGAGCCGCGUGAGGGAUGGAGGCCUUCGGGUUGUAAACCUCUUUCGGCAGAGAAGCAGGGCUGCUUCGUUUAUGGGUGGGUUGACGGUAGCUGGUUAAGAAGCGACGGCUAACUACGUG